CACAACUGUCAUCUCAGCAAUAAGCUUACAUAAGCUUCUGGGUCCUCAUAAAUAUGGAAGCUGUUGGCUGUGGUGAAGUCUGAAGGAACAUAUCUGAGUUCUGUGAAAAACCAAGAUGAAUCUUUGCUUUGUACCAUCACUUGGGACUUGGUCAUUAUGACUGCUAUGAACAGGGAACUGGGUCAUCCUGGUAAGGUUUCAGGAGCUAUGAAGGGGGGACUGGAGUAGAAAGGAGCAGAGAAUGGCCUGCUUGCAGAAAUAAAGGUAACAGCAACUCUUCAUAAUAAUUUUUCCCUGAGAAGAAGAGGUGAUCUGGAAUUGAUUACUAGAGCCUUUAUGCAGCAAAACAGAAUAAUGCGGUAUCAGCACAGUUACAGGUUGGGUGGAGAAUGGAUUGAGAACAGCCCAGAGGAAAAAAAGUUGGGGGUGCUGGUUGAUGAGAAGCUCAACAUGAGCUGGCAAUGUGUGCUUGUGUCCCAGAAAGCCAGCUGUGUCCUGGGCUACAUCAAAAGAAGCGUGGCCAGCAGGUCAAGGAGGUGAUUCUUCUGCCCUACUCUGCUCUUGUGAGACCCUGCCUGGAACAUCAUGUCCAGCUCUGGAGCUCCCAACAUGGGAACGACAUGGAGCUCUUGGAGCAAGUCCAGAGGAGGGCCAUGAAGAUGAUCCAAGGGCUGGAGAACCUUUCCUAUGAAAACAGGCUGAGGAAGUUGGGGUUGUUCAGCCUGGAGAAGACAAGGCUCCAAAAAGACCUUAUAGCAGCCUUCCAGUACCUGAAGAGGGACUACAAGAAAGCUGGGGAGGGACUUUUUAUGUGGGCAUGUAGUGAUAGACCAAGGGGUAAUGGUUUUAAACUGGGAGAGGGUAGAUUUAGGUUAGGACGAAAUCAUUUGGUGUGAGGGUGGUGAGAAGCUGGACCAAAUUGCUGAGGGAAGUUGUGGAUGCCCCUCCCUGGAAGUGUUCACAGCCAGGUUGGAUGAAGCUUUGAGCAACCUGGUGUAGACAGGCACGAGGAAACACAAAUAGUUGAUUCAGGAUGGUGAAGCAGCAAAAGACAAAGGCAGUGCCUUGAAGUUGACUGCAGCUUUACAUAAACGUGCUGGAUAGCGAGUUGUGGUGUCAGUCACCUCAUGAAAUUUCUGUUCCUACUGUAGACCAAAUGGAAGUUGAGGCAGAGAUUUGUUUCUAUACCUAAAUCUGACAGAAUCUGCAAGCUGGAAGCCUAAUUAGAACAAAAUGGUCUAACUUGGCAUGAAGAAUGAGUCUGGGGACUGCAGUUCCUAUGCAAGCCCUGGAACACUAUGGUGUAAGGUAGCAGUGAACUGGAUCUUCUAAUGAAAUUAGUUCUUUUUGUACAAAAUCUUUUUUUUUUUUGUUUGUCUGUGAGGAUAUACCUCAAGGUGAUAUCCUUCAAAGAAAACCCUCUGCCACUACCCAAGGUCCCCAUCUCCCCAGUAAGUUGGGAUAUGGCUAUCAUCAGCAGCUCCAGUGCAAUUAAAAAACCUAGUCAUACUUUAAUGACUUUUUGUGUAUUUUUAUCUUAGAGGCUCAAGGAGAAAGCAUCUUCAUUACAAAACCUGUGUCAGUCAUCUAAAUUCUCUAUUGACCUUCUGGAAACCAUCCAGCUGAUAGCCAUUCAUUUAUACACACAAAGGGAAGAGAUGGGUGUGAGCCAGAAAUAUGUUGGGAAACUAAACUUUCCUAGAGUAUAAUGUAUAUUUACAGGAAUAAUUUAUUAAGUAAUUUCAGACAGGCCCAUUUGCAUCUGAUGUGCCUGACUGUGGUUAAUUUACAGAAAGGAAGUCUUGAAGUGAGUCCAGUAAAUUAUUCAGGGUAAAUUUAUCCACCCCAUCUUCACUUGUUAGAAUAUUCUCUCAUGUGGAAAAGCUUUCUUGUUGCAUUUAACCCCAUCACUUACCCAUGUGACAUUCUGCGUCUUUAUUUAGAUAGCACCAACAAUGCUGGACACUUCUGGGGAAAUGCUGACCCACUGAAAUUAGUGGAGAAACUCCUGUGGAUUUCCAUAAGGAUUUCUUCUUACAAAAACUUUUUCUGAGAAACGACAAAUGUGUUUAAAUUUCUGCUAUGUGUUACACAGGGAAUGUAAAAACUGUGACCAUACUUAAUUAGAUCUCAUUCUCCAUUACACUGUUUUUCUGUUAUUUGAGCUGAACUUCAUUAAGGAAUUACUAUUUUUGGGCAUAUUAUUCUACAUGCUGAACUUAAAAUUCCUGUAUCAU